CCGGAGCUUGCUCCACCGGAAAAAGAAGAGUGGCGAACGGGUGAGUAACACGUGGGUAACCUGCCCAUCAGAAGGGGAUAACACUUGGAAACAGGUGCUAAUACCGUAUAACAAUCAAAACCGCAUGGUUUUGAUUUGAAAGGCGCUUUCGGGUGUCGCUGAUGGAUGGACCCGCGGUGCAUUAGCUAGUUGGUGAGGUAACGGCUCACCAAGGCCACGAUGCAUAGCCGACCUGAGAGGGUGAUCGGCCACAUUGGGACUGAGACACGGCCCAAACUCCUACGGGAGGCAGCAGUAGGGAAUCUUCGGCAAUGGACGAAAGUCUGACCGAGCAACGCCGCGUGAGUGAAGAAGGUUUUCGGAUCGUAAAACUCUGUUGUUAGAGAAGAACAAGGAUGAGAGUAACUGUUCAUCCCUUGACGGUAUCUAACCAGAAAGCCACGGCUAACUACGUGCCAGCAGCCGCGGUAAUACGUAGGUGGCAAGCGUUGUCCGGAUUUAUUGGGCGUAAAGCGAGCGCAGGCGGUUUCUUAAGUCUGAUGUGAAAGCCCCCGGCUCAACCGGGGAGGGUCAUUGGAAACUGGGAGACUUGAGUGCAGAAGAGGAGAGUGGAAUUCCAUGUGUAGCGGUGAAAUGCGUAGAUAUAUGGAGGAACACCAGUGGCGAAGGCGGCUCUCUGGUCUGUAACUGACGCUGAGGCUCGAAAGCGUGGGGAGCAAACAGGAUUAGAUACCCUGGUAGUCCACGCCGUAAACGAUGAGUGCUAAGUGUUGGAGGGUUUCCGCCCUUCAGUGCUGCAGCUAACGCA
rnacentral:rRNA from 1 species